GCUCCUACCGAUUGAGUGAUCCGGUGAAUUAUUCGGACUGACGCAGUGCUCAGCUUCUGGACGUUACGUUGGAAAGUUUCAUGAACCUUAUCACUUAGAGGAAGGAGAAGUCGUAACAAGGUUUCCGUAGGUGAACCUGCAGAAGGAUCAAGAUCGGA
rnacentral:misc_RNA from 1 species